rnacentral:rRNA from 1 species
GGGGAUAACCUUGCGAAAGUAAGACUAAUACCCAAUGAUAUCUCUAGAAGACAUCUGAAGGAGAUUAAAGAUUUAUCGGUGAUGGAUGGGGAUGCGUCUGAUUAGCUUGUUGGCGGGGUAACGGCCCACCAAGGCUACGAUCAGUAGGGGUUCUGAGAGGAAGGUCCCCCACAUUGGAACUGAGACACGGUCCAAACUCCUACGGGAGGCAGCAGUGAGGAAUAUUGGUCAAUGGACGAGAGUCUGAACCAGCCAAGUAGCGUGCAGGAUGACGGCCCUAUGGGUUGUAAACUGCUUUUAUAAGGGAAUAAAGUGAGUCUCGUGAGACUUUUUGCAUGUACCUUAUGAAUAAGGACCGGCUAAUUCCGUGCCAGCAGCCGCGGUAAUACGGAAGGUCCGGGCGUUAUCCGGAUUUAUUGGGUUUAAAGGGAGCGUAGGCCGGAGAUUAAGCGUGUUGUGAAAUGUAGAUGCUCAACAUCUGCACUGCAGCGCGAACUGGUUUCCUUGAGUACGCACAAAGUGGGCGGAAUUCGUGGUGUAGCGGUGAAAUGCUUAGAUAUCACGAAGAACUCCGAUUGCGAAGGCAGCUCACUGGAGCGCAACUGACGCUGAAGCUCGAAAGUGCGGGUAUCGAACAGGAU